AGCGAACGCUGGCGGCAGGCCUAAAACAUGCAAGUCGAACGCCGUAGCAAUACGGAGUGGCAGACGGGUGAGUAACACGUGGGAACGUACCCUUUGGUUCGGAACAACACAGGGAAACUUGUGCUAAUACCGGAUAAGCCCUUACGGGGAAAGAUUUAUCGCCAGAGGAUCGGCCCGCGUCUGAUUAGCUUGUUGGUGAGGUAACGGCUCACCAAGGCUACGAUCAGUAGCUGGUCUGAGAGGAUGAUCAGCCACACUGGGACUGAGACACGGCCCAGACUCCUACGGGAGGCAGCAGUUAGGAAUCUUGGACAAUGGGCGCAAGCCUGAUCCAGCCAUGCCGCGUGAGUGAUGAAGGCCUUAGGGUUGUAAAGCUCUUUCAGCGGGGAAGAUAAUGACGGUACCGCAGAAGAAGCCCCGGCUAACUUCGUGCCAGCAGCCGCCGU
rnacentral:rRNA from 1 species